AGCGGCAUCCUCUUACAUUUUCUCUUUUAUUUUCAUUCUUUCUCAAAAGUGUGUGUUUCACGUUCCUCUUCUAAAAAACAUACAUGCCAACAAUUUCUAUUUCCUCCAUUUUCAUUUUCCCGAAUCCAGAAGUUGGGGCUCCGCCAACACAUUUCAAGCUACUUGGAGAAGAUUUUCUUUGCAGGGUUCUACGUGUACCAGCUCGUCCUCUCUCCCUCUCUCUCUCUCUCUAAACUAUUGGACACUUGAAGCUACCGAUUCGAGGACUUCUACUUGGGUUUGAAAACUCUCCUUAAAUCACCAAUUAAUUAGUUAAAAGCUUGCAGGUAGUUUAAGGAUAAAGUAUCAUUGGACUGGGGGUAUGGAUACAUAUACUUUGAUGCUAGUGUACUAAUGGAACCUAUGCACUAUGUUGAUGAUUCUGGUUGCAAUUGUUUUGGACAGGUGAGUUGGGUUCUCCCCACUGGGAGAAUUGUGGUCCAUCCUGGAUGGUGAGAAUCUUGUUAAAAAGUUCACAUUCUCAUGUGUUUAUACUUAUAUUUUUGAAGUCAAGAGUUAUAUUUGUUGGGUAAACCAUUUUUAGUGAUGCACAGGGUUGAAAAGUCUCAUUUAGACCCUUUCGACCUCUUUGUAAGUUGUAUACAUUAGUUUAUGACUCUUGGUGAUUCUCUUAUGACUGGUUUUGUUUUACAUUGGCUUGUGAUUAACAUUAGGUUCUACAUUGUCGUUAUUGUAAAUAAGUCAAUUGUGAAAAGAAACAAGUAUAUAAGGAAUAUUAUAAAACUUUGAAGUAUGUUUGGACUCUAAAAAAGCUUGUUCUUGUUGUUUAGGAGCAUAACUUUUAAUCUUCUUUUCUCCUUUUUGAAAAAUUUUGGUUUGGGAGGGGGUGGUUACUUAGAUGGUGGAUAUUUGCUUUCUACUAGUAAGAUGUUUGAUGAUUUGUCUCCAACACUAGACAGUAAUUCUUAAUGUGCUUUUCUUCUUCCGUUUUCAUUAGAAUGUGAGUAUUUGAUUUUCUAUUUUUGAUUAACAGGGCAUCUCGGUGAUGGUUUUUCAGUUCCAAUGAAACCACAAAAAUGGUUGUGGUUUGUGCUUACAUUUCAAUGUUUUUCAAUUCCACAGGCCACAUUCUCAAUGGUGGGUUUAGCUUGGUUUCAUGCUAUUGGCUGCUGCCAGUUGCUUCCUUAAAGAAAUUUAAUCAACCUUUUCUUUUGGGCCUGAAGAAAUACUCCCCUCCAAGUGUUUGAAGGGGAUUCAGGACUUCCAUCUUCAUCAGGUUGGACUCUCAAAACAUGCAAUGUCUUGACCAUGUGAAGGGAAAGAUAAGGUAGACCAAAAUAGAAAAGGAAAAGGAAGUAGAUGGGUAUCUAUAGCAAAUCAAGUGGACAAAAGCAAGACAAGGUAAUCAAAUUUAAGCCUACAGAGUGACCUUGCAUUCGCAUCGUAUGCCUAUGGUAUAGUUACUUUAGUAUUUGGUUUUGUUGAAAUUUGAUACUUUCCUAAUCUUGUUCUUGCAUAUUGAGUGAAACUUAAAGUGAUAACUAGAGAUUAUAUUGCUUGUGAUGAAGCGUUUUGAUAACUUUCUUAAUUACAGGUUGUAUUGCUUGUGUUGAAGCCUUUUAGAUCUCAAUGUCAAUUUCACCUCAAGAGAUAACUUCAUCACCAAAUGUUCUUCCAUUGUUUGGUUCAAUUUGACUCAUAAUCCAACUUUCACUUCAUCCAACUCGAGUUGUCGAAGCUCUUUAUCCAUAAUCUCAAUCCAGUUUGGCUCAAAGAUGGAAGCUUAAUUCUAUGAUGACAUAAUUUUGAACGCUUGUAAAUUUUAUAUUUUAUGAACUUAUAUAGUUGCAAAUUAUAUUUGGUGUAUUUUUAUUGUUGGAUAAUUUUAUUAUUUUAUAAUGUACAAAUGGAUUACAAAUUUUUAUUAUUAAAGGA